GUUAGUAUGGCAGAAUAUGGUUAUGCAAAAGAUCUAAGACCUUUGAACUGGGGUUCAAAUCCCCAUAUUAACU
rnacentral:tRNA from 1 species